ACAUAAGCUAGACACCUCUAAAUUCGAAGGUGUGAGAGCACCAACCUAUGCCCAAUCUAUAUCUCAUAUGGAGUUUUAUCAACAAAUUUGCUCGAAAUCUUAUUUAGAAUAUAGCCUACAGUUUCAAGAGCGUAUCUCCAAAAGAAGAUUGACAGAUUUACAAAUUCAUUAUGGACCAAACCAUGCCUAACAGGGUUCGAUUCCUUCUUUCAGACAUCCCAUUAUGUUGUGGUGUUUCAGGAGGGAUCCACUAAGAAAGAAUCCCUUUCGCCUCU
rnacentral:lncRNA from 1 species